rnacentral:rRNA from 1 species
GGGGUAACGAGGUACGCUCUUCACCCUUUGUGAACAUACCCAACUGUUGCUUCGGCGGGUCGGGGCGCCCUCCCGGGGGCGCCCCCCAGGCCCGGCCCCUCCCGGGGCCGAGCGCCCGCCGGAGGAUCACCCAACUCUAUUUUAACGACGUUUCUUCUGAGUGGCACAAGCAAAUAAUUAAAACUUUUAACAACGGAUCUCUUGGUUCUGGCAUCGAUGAAGAACGCAGCGAAAUGCGAUAAGUAAUGUGAAUUGCAGAAUUCAGUGAAUCAUCGAAUCUUUGAACGCACAUUGCGCCCGCCAGCAUUCUGGCGGGCAUGCCUGUUCGAGCGUCAUUUCAACCCUCAAGCCCGGCUUGGUGUUGGGGCACUACGGUCGACGUAGGCCCUUAAAGGUAGUGGCGGACCCUCCCGGAGCCUCCUUUGCGUAGUAACUAACGUCUCGCAUCGGGAUCCGGAGGGACUCCUGCCGUAAAACCCCCACACUUUUUCUGGUUGACCUCGGAUCAGGGUAGGAAUACCCGCUGAACUUAAGCAUAAAAGAGAAGGGGAGAGAGGAA